AUCAUUACGUAAAACUGUCAAUGUUGUGGUGUAGAGGUUGGCUACGUCAACCUGCGGGAGGAAAGGCCAGUUUGUAUGUCAUUCAACCGAAGGUCACGGAGAUCAUUACAGAAAUUUGGUAAAACUUUCAUGCAGUGGUGUAGAGGUUGGGUGAGAACGACACGUGUUGCUUCAUUAGCAAGUAGGAACAAUUGCCGCAAGGCUUGAGUUGAGAGGUAAGGGUGAGAAAAAGUCGUAUAAAAGGAGAGAGAAAAGGCCACAGUGAUCAGUCGAGUUAGCGUCUCCGACACGGGAACAACUGCAGCCCUAUUGGUCUCCAACUGCCUUCUUCAUCGCAUUAUCAGUUUGCAAUCAUGGUCAACUGUGGGUCGUGCUGCUGUUGGGUGUUGUAUCGUUGAUGGCUGGGGAGACCACGGGAGUACCGAUGUCUUCUGAGUAUGGUGGAAACCAAACAGCAACGCCUCCGCCUUGCUACACAACGAAGUCAACAUACGCAGCAUCUACUUACUACACCGAGGCUCCCAAGAACUACACAACCGAGUUGUCUGCCUCAGCCUACUACACCGACGCUCUCAAGUACUACUCUUCAAGCUACUACAAAACUGAGGCUCCUGUUUACGUCGCCAAGGCCACCGAGUAUUACACUACAACCAAAUUGUAAAUAUUCUGUUUCCACUUAAAUAUGGCGUCGUUCUGCUGUUGGUUGGUGUAUCCUUGAUGGUUGGGUCGACUACGGGUGUACCGAUGUCUUGUGGGUAUGGCGGAUACCAAACCGCAACGCGCCCGUCUUACUGCACGACAAAAACAUACGCAACAACCGGAUACUACACCGCCAAGGCCCAAGACUAGUGCACCACAACUUAUGAUGUCCUGAACUACUACACUGAAGCCCCAGAAAAAGACUACACCGCCAAGUCAGCCGAGUAUUACACCGCCAAGUCAGCCGAGUAUUACACCGCCAAGUCAGCCGAGUAUUACACCGCCAAGUCAGCCGAGUACUACACCGCCAAGUCAGCCGAGUACUACACCGUCAAGUCAGCCGAGUACUACACCGUCAAGUCAGCCGAGUACUACACCGCCAAGUCAGCCGAGUACUACACCGCCAAGUCAGCCGAGUACUACACCGCCAAGUCAGCCGAGUACUACACCGCCAAGUCAGCCGAGUACUACACCGCCAAGUCAGCCGAGUACUACACCGCCAAGUCAGCCGAGUACUACACCGUCAAGUCAGCCGAGUACUACACCGCCAAGUCAGCCGAGUACUACACCGCCAAGUCAGCCGAGUACUACACCGCCAAGUCAGCCGAGUACUACACCGCCAAGUCAGCCGAGUACUACACCGCCAAGUCAGCCGAGUACUACACCGCCAAGUCAGCCGAGUACUACACCGCCAAGUCAGCCGAGUACUACACCGCCAAGUCAGCCGAGUACUACACCGCCAAGUCAGCCGAUAAUUCGUACAUCGUUGAACCGGAAGACUAAACCGAUGCUCCAGUUUACUACACUACAACCUGCGCUUUCUCCCAGAUACUACACCACCAAGGCAACCGAGUAUUACAUCACUACUUACGCUACUACCACCUACUACACCGAAGCACCGAAGUAUUACUCUGUCCCGAGUUAUUACACCACCAAGGCAGCCGACUAUUACACCAUAAACUACGCUUCCGCAACUUACUACAUGGAGCUUCCUUAAUGCCAGAGUCGACUAAUUGAGUUUAUUAUUAUUUGUCGGUCGUCUUCAUGAUCAUUAGUCACUGGGAUUUAAUUGUUGAUCUUAAAUUAGAAAAUAAAAAUUUUAAUGCGGGUAA